rnacentral:rRNA from 1 species
GGCAACGACCAUACCACGUUGAAAACACCAGUUCCCGUCCGAUCACCGAAGUUAAGCAACGUCGAGCCCGUAGUACUGGAUGGUGACGCUGGAUACCGGGUGCUGUAGAC